GAUUCAGCCGCUAAAGCAGGUAUGGUGCUGUACACCUUCAAUCCCAGCACCCGGGAGGCUGGCACAGGAAGGAGGAUCACAAGUUCAAGCCAAACUGGCCAAAUGAGAGAUCCUGUCUCAAAAUAAAAAUGUGGUGGCGCCCACUAGGAAAGACGGCAGCCCGCGGACACCGGGACAUACUUGCUGGGUUUGAAUCUCUUUCCGGACUCUGAGGGCAUGUUGGAGCUGUGAAGGGGAGAGCUGCCCUGCCGCAUAGCCCAGGCACACCGGCGGCAGGACAGACAAGAAACGGGGGCGAGGGGGACAGCAGGGAGGUCGCCAACCAGGGGAGGCCGGAGGCGCAGAGCCGCCACCCUCCCCUCCCGAAGAACGCGGCAGCUCAACAGGUCCUGGAAGAGGGAAGGUGCACGGGAGGGGAAAGGCGACUUCCCAGCCUGAGAAGCGGCCUCCCUGGAGCAAGGCGGCGGCAGAUCAGGAGAUGGGGCUGCAGCAGUCUGAACACGGAGCAGGGGAGGUGCAGGUGGAGCAGGUGGCGAGCAGCGCAGUCAGGCAGGCCGCAGGGCAGCUCGUGGAGGUGGGGCUUCCCAGGAAAGGAGGACGGGGUUGGGGGUCAGAGUCACCAAGAAGCUCCGAGGGGGAGCACCGGCAGUGCCCCCGAGGCUGUGCCCUGAAGGUGCGCCCCGCUGCCCUGCCUGCAGUCCUGUCCUGCGCAGCCUCCCGAGGCCACCACGCCCACACGGCUUCACCAGGCCCUGCAGUCUGGCACCGGCAGCUUAACUUUAUUUACUUCUCUCUUGACGGCCAACACUGGACAACAGCUGUUACAGGGCUGAGUUGUAAAUCCUUUCCUUUGGAGGGGGAGGGAAAACGGAGCAAACCUGACCGUCUUCAGUCUCUGCUUGUUACUCCUGACCCUGUUAAGGGCUCUGUUUCCCACAGAGUUCAUGCAAAACUAAAUGGAAACUUAAAAUCCUUGGAAGCCAUGUUCUUCCCAGUAAGCAGAAGAGGGACGAAGACACAACUUCUACUUGAUGGUACUUUCAGACUUCUGUGAAUAAAGGCAAAGCUCCAAAGAUGCCCCUGUUCCCAGGUUUCUCAAGUUCUCUGAUCUUUUGUCUUCAAGCUGGGGCUCUGCAGAUGUGGAGUUCAGCUGGGUUACAGGGCCUCACCUGGAGAAAAACAAGGAUGUUUACCAAGAAAACUUCCCGGGCAUUUCUAAACCACAGCAAUGCCCCAUCCCCACAGGC
rnacentral:lncRNA from 1 species